CGAAUAUAAAAAUACAAUGAAUAUAAUCGAUAACUUGAUACAAUUAGUUACAUCGCACUUGAAAGUGCAAAUUAAGGAGACAGACGUCAUUAACGCAACGAAAAUCAAAAACUAUUGCAAACUAUUAAAAAAACAACAUAAUUUAACAGUAUUUGAACAAGUCAUGGGUGACAACUAUGAUAAUAUGGUAUUAUUAUGGUCGUUGAAGCACAUUCAGGAAAAUAUGGAAUUACUGCAGAUAUUAAGUCUACCACUUGAUGAAAAACUAAAAUCAUUAGCAGACACAUCAAUGGAUUUGUUUUUCAGGGAAUAUUCCCACAUUAUUAACAAUGAACUGUUUGAAAUGAAAUCAUUUAUCAAUAAAACACUACAAAGGAAUGUUGGGAAAUGUGAUAUGCUGCCCGCAUACUACGCUUUCACUCGGAGUUUGUUCUGUGAACACUUGCAAUACACUUUUUUCGGCGGCACUCUGUUUUUGUUUAUCAUGGGUGUUUUUCUGCUAUUAACACUUUUCCUUGUACUCAGAAUGAAGCAGUAUCUAAUUGGCACUCUGAAUUAUCACGCGUUUAUGACUGAUGACAGAAAUGCACAACGUUAUCAAAGUGAAAUUGCUCGACAAAUUGCAUAUGAAGUAAUAAAAAGCAUCUAAAGAAUGAUUUCCGAAGCAAUCGGAAUUGACUAUGUAUGAAAACAGUAGUAAAUUUAUUGUAUGUUUACUAUUCUCGUAUGUAUUUGUGAAAAUAAAAACAAUACAACUAAACAAAA